rnacentral:rRNA from 1 species
UACGUAGGGUGCAAGCGUUAUCCGGAUUUACUGGGCGUAAAGCGUACCGUCGGUGUUUUGUUAAGUUUCGUGUUCAAGCCUGGGGCUCAACUCCAGAUCAGCACGGAAAACUGACAAAAUUGAGUCUGUCAGGGGCAGCUAGAAUUCUCGGUGGAGGGGUGAAAUCCGUAGAUAUCGAGAGGAAUACCAUACGCGAAGGCAGGCUGCUGGGACACGACUGACACUCAGGGACGACAGCUCGGGGAGCAAAAGGG